rnacentral:rRNA from 1 species
UACGAAGGGUGCAAGCGUUACUCGGAAUUACUGGGCGUAAAGCGUGCGUAGGUGGUUUGUUAAGUCUGUUGUGAAAGCCCCGGGCUCAACCUGGGAAUGGCAAUGGAUACUGGCAGGCUAGAGUGCGGUAGAGGGUAGUGGAAUUCCCGGUGUAGCGGUGAAAUGCGUAGAUAUCGGGAGGAACAUCAGUGGCGAAGGCGGCUGCCUGGCCCAAUACUGACACUCAGGUGCGACAGCGUGGGGAGCAAACAGG